UACGGGGGGAGCAAGCGUUGUUCGGAUUUACUGGGCGUAAAGGGCGCGUAGGCGGUCCAGCAAGUCGGGUGUGAAAGCCCUCGGCUUAACCGAGGAAGUGCAUUCGAAACUACUGGACUUGAAUACUGGAGAGGAUCGCGGAAUUCCCGGUGUAGAGGUGAAAUUCGUAGAUAUCGGGAGGAACACCAGUGGCGAAGGCGGCGAUCUGGACAGAUAUUGACGCUGAUGUACGAAAGCGUGGGGAGCAAACAGG
rnacentral:rRNA from 1 species